GGCUAUUCUGGAGUUGUGAUGCUCACAAGUCACAAUUUUUUGUGAGGUUUUUUUUGUGAGGUUUCUUAUGAGGUUGUCACAAUUUCGUAUUCUGCGAAAAACCUCAUAAGAAACCUCACAACAAAUUCACCACGAUAGAGAAAAGUGUAAACUUGGCGCAGUUCAAGACAUUCGUCGAGAUGGACUCCAACCUGUACCAGGCAGUCAGAGAGACUCAAAAGAACGUGAAACUCAUCAAAAGAUGAGAUUUAAGUUUGGAAGUGUUUGGAUCACCACCGGCAUCGGAUGGCAUGAGUUACCUAUUACAACGGCAAGUAGUAUUGAUUGCAUUUAAAUCAAGUCAUGCACAAUAAGUGAAUGCAAUCCUUCUCCGCUUUUUGUAAAUGAAGAUUUUUACUUUUAGGAAAACAAUGGCUCUCAAAGCGUCCAUAUUAGGUUGAUCAACUGAAGAGUGAAUGUGAAAAGAUUGCCACUUUGACUUAAAGUAUCGGCAAAUGUGCCGCAACACCAAUCGCUAGCCCGAAACUUAUUUCGUUCUCACCCAAAGCAACAAAACUCCGCAAUCUUGUCAAAAAAAGGACGACAAAUUGGUUGUCCGUCUUGGUGGCAAUGAAGGACUACAAAAAUUUGAUCUCUCUGGUUUGCUGGUACAGAGAAUCUGAUACGUUCAGACGAAUUAAGCUGGAAAACAAAGGCAAACAUGGAAUUUAAAUACGAACGCAUAAAUGUUGACAAAGAAUUCUUCAAAACACGCUCACAAAUCGGACUCAAUAACCAAGCAUAUUUCAUGCACAUAUGCAGGAAAUAUAAAAAUUAUCUAACAGCACUUCCAACUAAUGGAUUACAACCUCCUCCAAAUUAUUUAUAUAAGUAAUUCAAUUUCACUUAUGAAUAAAUGGCUAUUUUUUUUAUCAAACUGAAUAUACCAUACAACCUUCGACGUAGACAAAUUUCGUCAUCAACAAUAACAUCCAUACACCUUAUUUACCAGACCGAAAAUUUCAACCCGAAUUAGGCUGUAAUUAUUAGAACUGCCAAAAAAAAUAACAAACAAAAAAAAAAAUGGAAUAUCAAACCAACUAGAAUUGUAUAAUGGAUCAUUCACGCCCGCAUCCGCCUGUUUAGAAAAAAAAAGGAUUUUCUUUACUAAAUCUGCUGGGGCUGCAUUUUCUUUUGUUAAAAAAAAAAUGAGGAAUAUGGAGUAAUCUAAAAAGGCAAUUUCUUCUUGGUUUGGGCUUUCAAGGCCAUAUUAGUUGCAUGGGAAAUCACAUUCGCACA